CAGAAAGGGCUUGGAUGGGUAACAGAGAGGGCUCACCGUGGCUGGAAACUUUAAAAAGGAACCUGGGAGAAAUCCUCUGGUCCAGCUCUCCCAUUUUACAGAUGGGGAAGUGAGACCCAAGGAAAACCAGCAAACGUUAAAUGGUCACUAAAUGCAGGGCAGAGAAGCAGGUCAGGUGGCCUCCCAUUGAAUGAAGAAAAAGCCAACGUAGAUAUCAGGAAUAAUUGGGUUCCAGCUCCCCCGGGACACACGGGCCGUUGAGGUGGCCCCAGGAGAGUGGGACCAGUGGGGACUCCGGUCUAUGUGGCAGGAGGGGGCUGUCCACACCAGGAGUCCCUUGGGAUAAUGAGGAUUUGAAUCCAGGCCUUCUGCCUCCCCACUUGAACUGGCUCCUACUAUCUCUGUGCCACAAUUUCCCCAUGUCUGAGGUGUCCCGGCCUGUGUUGCUCUGGAUCAUGUCCCCAAGAUACUGGUCAGACGUCCCUAAUAUUUACUAGCUUUUCAGAGUGAUCCUGAUUCAGUCACCUCCUCCUCCUCCUCGGGCCUCAGUAUCCCCUGUGAGCCGAGGACAGGAGCCACCCUUUGCCCUCCCUCCCGGGUCCCUGAUGGAACCACUUGGUAGCAUUUUGUAACUGGAUCUUUUGAGCUGUUCUCGAGCAUCAUGGGAGGGUUUUUUUUUUUUUUUUUUUUGGACUGGGGGGAGAAUUGAGGAAGGUGCCUUGGGUCUGACUCAGUCUCUCCCUUCCGUCUUCUAGUGGAAUUGAUCUUCUGGGAGAUCAUGAGGCUUCGGAAGGAGAUGUCCUUGGCCAAGCUGGGCUUCUACCCGAACGAGGUCUAGAGCCGAGGUCGCGGCUCCAGGGACGCAGAUGGACGUUGUUAGGGGAGAGGCCACCGGGCCGGGGGCUGCUCUGAUUGAGGCAGAAGGACAUGAUGGGUGGGUCUCCGGCCUCUGAAGGGUUCACCCCAGAGGGCUGCCACCAGCAAGGAGACCCUGGAGAAAACCCUGCAGGGAGGAGGGGCGCAGAGCGGAGCUGAUCCUUCAGGCUGGAUCUUGGGCUCCGAGGCCCGGGCUCCACAAGGAGCCGUUUCCGGGCCUCUUUCGCUUCCACCGACCGAUGCAGUGAAUUUUCCAAAAGAAGAAAAAAAAAAAUCUGAUCAACAAGAACAAAGCCUGCAGGCUUCUGUGGCCCGUGGGAGGUGGGGGUGGGGGUGGGGUCGGGGUCUCUGGGUGUCCGGAGCGGGGUCUCCAGCCCCUUCCCCAGACACUGGCACUUUAUCUCACCAAAGGAAAAGGACACAGAGGGUCUGAGCUCAGGAAAGUAGCCGGGGCCUGUUGCCCUGCUCUCCCCCUCCUCCCUCUCCUAAACAGGACAUCAAAGCCCCUGUUAGUUGCCCAUGGCCACCCCUGCUCCCCGAGCCCAGGCCCCCAGCCCUCCCCUUCCCCUCCCCCCCAGUAACGACUGUGGGCAAUGGCCGGUCUCUGCCACUGACCAAUGUAAGCAGCGCCCCCUCGUGGUGUGACCUUGCCCUUCCAGUCAGGGAAGCCAUUCCUGGGGCCUGCCUGGCUCUGUUAACUCCAAGAAACUACUUGUCCCUUGGGGAAACCUCUGUGGACUUUGACCAGCAGGUGGAAAGCUCAGCCCGGGGUGGGGGAGGAAAGACGGGGGUCCUCCCCCCAGGUUCAAGUUUGGCACUCAUGUCCCCCUCCCUCCCCAUCAUCCCCUUGGGUGCCUUGAGCUGCUCCCGGGGCUCAGGUCUGGCAAGGACUACGUGCAGAAACACUGGGCAGAGCACGUGCCCCCUGGUGGGCGGGACACUUGGGUCGCCCCCUUCCCUCACCACCAAUGAUGGGGGGCUUCUCUAAGACGAGGCGGGGGUCUCGUGUCCCCUCUCCCCAUUUGUGUGUUGCUGGCCCCGGGGACAUCCCCGUCACUCUCCCUAGGGCUUUAGGGGCAGCCCGGGUCUCGGCCAGGAAGAUGCCAUCCCUCCAUCCCCCAGAAAGCUCUGCUCUCCCCUGGCUGUCGUGUCCUAAGCUGGAACGCCAGCCUCGUCUCUGUCGCUUCCCGAAUGACAAUCGUUCCAGGCUGGGGAUUAGACACAGCGGGGCAGUGCCCGCCAAGGGUGCGGGGGGGGGGGGGGGGGGGGGGGGGGGGAGGGCAAGAGAAGGAGAUCUUUCCCGUCAGCCCGCUCCAGUCUAUUACCUUUAAAUAGGACACUCUCUUCCCCUGAGGAAUUUAAUGGGCUCAGCACCCAGCAGGGACUGGCUGGAGAUCAGCCUUAAGGCUUUGGGGACAGCCUAGUGAAAGGGCUGGGGGGGGAGGGGAGGAGGAGGAAAGGUAGGAGUGUGGAACGGCCCCCCCCCAACAAGAGCCCAAGCUGUUCAUGAGCCUCCCCAAAAAGGCCCCCUUGGUAAAUGAAUGCUUCAGGGACCCUCCUGCAGCUGGGCCCACACCCAUGAAGUGGGCAAUAGGAUUGGCACCCUGGGCUGGCAAGCUUCAAAUCCUCCUCCCCCUUUCCAUUAGCACCCUGGGACCCCUAGAUUCAAACUUUGUCCCCCCUUUCCAUCGGCACCUUGGAAACCCCUGUCUUCAAAUCUUGCCCCCUUUUAUUGACAUCCUGGGACUUCUAGCUUCAAACCGUUCCCUUUUCCAUUGGUACCUUGGAACCCCCUAGCUUCAAACCCUGCCUCCCUUUUUUAUUGGUACCCUGGGACCUCUAGCUUCAAACCCUGCCCCCCCCUUUUCAUCGGCAUCCUGGGUAUCUUAGCUUUAUAUGCUGCCCCUUUUCCAUUGGGACCCCUUGCUUCAAGCCCUGCCUCCCUUUCCAUUAGCAUCCUGGCAUCCCUAGCUUCAAGCCCUGCCCCCCUUUCCAUUGGCAUCUUGGGCCGUCUAGCUUCCAACCCCCCCACCUCCAGCUGGGCGGCGGGUAGCCACCUGUUGCAACGAUUAAAUGGGUUUUCCGGAUAAUCUCCCAGCGUCAGUACCAUCUCCUAUUCCUGUAAUUCCCUGCCCCCACCACCCCAGAGGCAGUUGGGCCCUCACAGCUUGAGCUCCGAGACUUCCCACCUGUCCCAGUCCGUCCAGGGGGCCCUGCCAACCAGGGAGGAGACCGAUGGUGGAAAAGAGGCCCGUUUCCUGCCUCCAAGGUGCCUUACCCCAGGACCUGGGGACUGAGGACGCUCGUCUCUGGCAGAAUGGCAGCCGCCUCAGCUGUGGAAGGGUGAGGAGGGCUAUGCCGGUGCACUUGCCCCUGGCGCCAGUCCAUGGGUGGGAUACUACCCUCCCCUUCAGGAGAUGGGUCUGGGUGGUGGUGGGGGCACCUUGGGAGAGUCUGGAGGGAGCAACUAUAGCCCAGGGGUCCUUUGAAGGAUCUUUUCCCUCCCAAGGGACCCCCCUCUCCCCACCUGGCCCUUGUGAUCCGGGGCUGUCACGGACACAGAUCUCCUGCUGGCUCACUUCUAACUCCCUUUUUUAAAUGAAAUGUAAGAUAAUCUCUAUUUAAUAAAGGAAGGAUUUAUUGGUAAAGACUGAGGAGUUUCUUGUAGACAUUUUAAGAAAUUGGAUCCUUUUCAUUUAUCCCUGGAUGAAGGAUUGGGCUGAGGAUUAAACCAGAGCCUGAACAAACUAGCAGAGCUCUCUGGCAGAAGUCUAAGGACCUGCACUGUGAAAGCGCAGGGCAAGGACACUGGCCUCUAAACUGAGAGACACCAGGAUUUAAAUACUGGGCCUGUAGACCAGCUCCGUGACCAUGGUCAAGUAAUUGAUCUGGCCCACAGACUCCCGAUCUCACCAGGUUUCCAAGGGCCAGGCCGGCCUCCGUUUGGCUUAGUUCUUGACGCCUUUGUCUCCCAAGUCCCUUUGCUCUGCUCUACCAGGGGAUAGGUUUGUGAUGUCUUCAUUUCUUGUUGUGACUCCAAUCAGACGUGUCAAGAAUGAGCAAGAUGAACAAUUCUGACUGGAAUGUUAACUUUUUUAAAAUUAAAUCUAACAAGGUAGUAAUAACCUUCUAUGCUGGCUUUGCCAUUGGCAUUUUGCCUUUAUCUCCGCCUGGAAACCAGGAACCACCGCCAUGGGCUGCACCCAGUGUAGUAAGGACUUAGGUGGCCACAUCUCCCACUUUCUGUGUGGCUUUGAAAAAAUCCCUCUCUGUGAAUUCUUAC
rnacentral:lncRNA from 1 species